rnacentral:rRNA from 1 species
GACGAACGCUGGCGGCGUGCUUAACACAUGCAAGUCGAACGGAGUACCCUUGAUUGAGGUUUCGGCCAAAUGAUAGGAAUACUUAGUGGCGGACUGGUGAGUAACGCGUGAGGAACCUGCCUUUCAGAGGGGGACAACAGUUGGAAACGACUGCUAAUACCGCAUAAUGUGCAGAGGGGACAUCCCUUUUGCACCAAAGAUUUAUCGCUGAAAGAUGGCCUCGCGUCUGAUUAGCUAGUUGGUGGGGUAACGGCCCACCAAGGCGACGAUCAGUAGCCGGACUGAGAGGUUGACCGGCCACAUUGGGACUGAGAUACGGCCCAGACUCCUACGGGAGGCAGCAGUGGGGAAUAUUGGGUAAUGGACGCAAGUCUGACCCAGCAACGCCGCGUGAAGGAAGAAGGCUUUCGGGUUGUAAACUUCUUUGACAGGGGAAGAGUAGAAGACGGUACCCUGAAAACAAGCCACGGCUAACUACGUGCCAGCCGCCGCCGUAA